GGGUCAGUAGGUUGGUCGUGCCACCGGUACGUACUGGUCUCACUGAUUCCUCCUUCCUGAGGAACCGUAAUGCCAUUAAUUUGGUGUUGCGGGGAAACAGGACUGUUACUUUGAAAAAAUUAGAGUGUUUAAAGCAAGCCAACGCUUGAAUACAUUAGCAUGGAAUAAUGAAAUAGGACGAUCGAUCCUAUUUUGUUGGUUUCUAGGAUUGACGUA
rnacentral:rRNA from 1 species